CAUAUUCGCUAAUGGUGCUAGCAUGAAAACCUGUAGGCUUUCCAAUCCAUGGAAUCACGAUAUCGAACUUUGGGCCACCCGAAUUGUUGACAACAGGUAUUAAACCAGCAGCCAUGUAUUCAACGACACCAAUCCCAAAAUGCUCAUUCCACAUGUAAUUGACACCUAUAGAGCAAGUACCUAGAUACUCAACUACCUUGGGC